AAACCAACCGGGAUUGCCUCAGUAACGGCGAGUGAAGCGGCAAAAGCUCAAAUUUGAAAUCUAGUACCUUCGGUGCUCGAGUUGUAAUUUGAAGAUGGCAACUUUGGGAUUGGCCUUUAUCUAUGUUCCUUGGAACAGGACGUCACAGAGGGUGAGAAUCCCGUCUGAUGAGGAGAUCCAAUUCUUUGUAAAGUGCUUUCGAAGAGUCGAGUUGUUUGGGAAUGCAGCUCUAAGUGGGUGGUAAAUUCCAUCUAAAGCUAAAUAUUGGCGAGAGACCGAUAGCGAACAAGUACAGUGAUGGAAAGAUGAAAAGAACUUUGAAAAGAGAGUGAAAAAGUACGUGAAAUUGUUGAAAGGGAAGGGUAUUAGAUCAGACUUGGCUGUGUGUGAUUAUCAUCUCCUUGUGGGAUGUGCACUCGGGCGCUGCUGGGCCAGCAUCGAUUCGUGUGGCAGGACAAGAGCGAUUGAAUGUGGCUGUUCUUCGGGACAGUGUUUAUAGCUUUCGUUGAUACUGCCUACGUGGAUCGAGGACUGCGUCUUUUUGACUAGGAUGCUGGCGUAAUGAUCUAAUAUCGC
rnacentral:rRNA from 2 species